UCCAGCAUGGUGCAGUGGUUGAGCACUGGACUAUCACUCUGCAAAUCAGGGUUCGAAUCCCAGUUCAGCCA